AAAUUGGAAGGUCUUUGCAGUUGAUUUCACUUCUUGUGUCAUCCAAAGGUCAUCGCAAGUGAGAGAACCAUGCCAGAAUACACAAUUGUAUCCUUCAAUAUCAGAGGUCGUUGUGAAGCAGCACGAAUGCUUCUGGCUGACCAAGGUUUGGAAUGGAAGGACGAAUUUGUGACUAAUGACACCUGGCUGCAAGGAGAUCUGAAAGCUAAAGCGGUGUUUGGGCAACUGCCAGUAUUUAAGGAUGGUGGUCUAACCUUGUAUCAGUCCAAUGCUAUUUUGCGCCAUCUUGCAAGGAAGCAUGGUUUAUAUGGGAAGGAGCUUAAUGAUCAAUCCUGUAUAGAUAUGAUGAAUGAUGGGGUAGAAGAUCUCAGGAUAAAAUAUUUGCAGCUAAUUUAUAAGAAUUAUGAAGAAGGAAAGGAUGCCUACAUUAAGAGUUUACCUGCUGAAUUCAAAUACUUUGAAAAUGUCUUGGGUCAGAAAAAUUAUGGAAAUGGCUUUCUUGUAGGCAACGAGGAUGUUGCAAGGUAGGCGUGUGCAAUGCACUUUUCCAGUGUUCCUAGGGAAAGGACACCUGUGUGGUUGUGGAAAGCAUAAGAAAGAAGAAGCAGAUUUCAUUUGCAAAUUAUAACCUUGUGGAUCUUCUCCUCAAUCAUCUUGUAUUGGUUCCUGGGUGUCUUGCAGAAUUCCCGCUUCUCUCUGCAUUUCUUGAGCAUAUCUCUUCUCGACCUAGAAUUCAAGCCUUCCUGUCUAGUGAUGCCCACAAGAAUCAUGCCAUCAAUGGAAACAGCAAUUCAACAAACAGUAAUUCAAUAAUUCCGGCAAGAUUAGAAUCAUGGUCUAAGUAUCCUGAGGCCUUUCUUAUAAAUUCAAUGU